CCUCCACUGUCUCAUGCGGUACCUCAGUGAAAUUGGUUUAGCCGUGCAGAUACGGUUUAUGUGCAAGAGGACACGAAGACCCUAUACAGCUUUACUAUAGCUAGUUAUUGUAAUCGUCUUAAUGAUUUAGAAGGUAGUCGUUAGACGCAAAUGAAAUACCUUUAUUCAUUAAUGAUAGUUGCUAUGCUUAAUAAGCUAAUAUGACUAGUGGGUAGUUUAACUGGGACGGUUUCCUCCAAUAAAGUAUCGGAGGACCUCGAAGGUAUGCUGAUGUUAGAUGGAAGCUAACGUGUCAUGAGGACACACAAAAGCCCAUAGGUAUAUGCAUGCUUGACUGCAAGACCGAUAAGUCGAAGCAGAUACUUAAGUAGGACUAAGUGAUCCGCUAGUGCUAUAUGGAUAGGCUAGCGCUCAAGAGAUAAAAGUUACGCUAGGGAUAACAGGGUUAUAGCGCACGAGAGUUCAUAUUGUCGGCGCUGUUUGCCACCUCGAUGUCGACUCAUC
rnacentral:rRNA from 1 species